UACGGAGGAUGCGAGCGUUAUCCGGAUUCAUUGGGUUUAAAGGGUGCGUAGGCGGAAUGGUAAGUCAGGGGUGAAAGUUUGCCGCUCAACGGUAAAAUUGCCUUUGAUACUGUCAUUCUUGAGUACAUUUGAGGUAGGCGGAAUGUGAUAUGUAGCGGUGAAAUGCUUAGAUAUAUCACAGAACACCGAUUGCGAAGGCAGCUUACUAAACUGUAACUGACGCUGAGGCACGAAAGCGUGGGGAGCGAACAGG
rnacentral:rRNA from 1 species